rnacentral:rRNA from 1 species
AACGAACGCUGGCGGCAUGCCUAACACAUGCAAGUCGAACGAGACCUUCGGGUCUAGUGGCGCACGGGUGCGUAACGCGUGGGAAUCUACCCUUGGGUUCGGAAUAACAGUUAGAAAUGACUGCUAAUACCGGAUGAUGACGUAAGUCCAAAGAUUUAUCGCCCAAGGAUGAGCCCGCGUAAGAUUAGCUUGUUGGUGGGGUAAUGGCCUACCAAGGCGACGAUCUUUAGCUGGUCUGAGAGGAUGAUCAGCCACACUGGGACUGAGACACGGCCCAGACUCCUACGGGAGGCAGCAGUGGGGAAUAUUGGACAAUGGGCGAAAGCCUGAUCCAGCAAUGCCGCGUGAGUGAUGAAGGCCUUAGGGUUGUAAAGCUCUUUUACCAGGGAUGGUAAUGACAGUACCUGGAGAAUAAGCUCCGGCUAACUCCGUGCCAGCAGCCGCAGUAA